CAGCAGCCUCUGCCACAACAAACCCUCCAUCAACUGUGUCUCCAACAUCAGCUGCUUCAACAUCUCAUCCCAGUACAAGCUCUUCUACAACUGAGUCUCAAACAGCAGAACCUACAAGUAAGUAAUGAUAUUAUAAUUUAUGUAUAUAAUUUUAAUAAUCAGCAGUUCGGGUGUUUCAAAUCACCUUCUGAGCAAUCAAGUAUUAGUAUCUGCAAUAAUAAGAAAUAUGUUCCUGUCAUGAUGUCCCAGCAGUUUCUGCUACAACAAACUCUCCAUCAACUGUGUCUCCAACAUCAGCUCCUUUAAGUGAGUUUUUUUUUAAAUUCAUAGAUUAUUGUGUGAACAUUUCAAUAAAAAAAUGAUAAUUAUAGGUCCAACUUAAUUAGAGGUGGUGGAAUUUUGCUGUGUUUGUUUUCUAUUAUAACAUAUUUUUGUAUGUUAGGGCUCUACUCAUUAUUAACUUCUGUGAUGAUUUUAUGCAAAAUGGUUUAAAUGGUUUAAUGGUUUUUAAUGGUUUAAUGUUUUUUUUUAAUACUUCUACAUUUUAUUAGCACCCCCUGCCAGUACAAGCUCCUCUACAACUGAAUCUCAAACAGCAGAACCUACAAGUAAGUAUUGCAUAUGUGCAGUUGUCAAAAAAAGAUUUAUUUUAUCUUUGCCAUUAUGACAGUAAAUAAUAUUUGACUAGAUAUUUUUCGAGACACUUCUAUACAACUUAAAGUGACAUUCAAAGGCUUAACUAGGUUAAUUAGUUUAACUAGGCAGGUUAGGGUAAUUAGACAAGUUAUUGUGUAAUGAUGGUUUGUCUGUAGACUAUCGAGAAAAAAAUAUAGCUUAAAGUUGCUAAUAAUUUUGUCCCUGAAAUAGUUUUAAAAAUUUUUUUAUCCUAUUCUUUUAUUCGAGCCAAA
rnacentral:lncRNA from 1 species